GACUAACCUAGCCUCCCGCACGCUCGCACGCGCACGAAGCACAUCAGGCGCACGAGCAGCGGGCUCCCAAUAACCUAGCCGCCGGCCGCCAGACGCCACCUCCUAGUCUGGCGCCGCCUCCCCACCUCCUCGUCGUGCGAUACGUCCUCGCCGGGCGCCGCCUCCCCGCUUCCUCGCCGUGCGUUGCGUCCUCGCCGGACGUCGCCUCCCCGCUUCCUCGCCGUGCGCCGCGUACUCGCCGGGCGCCGCCUCCCCGCCAGACUGCCGCCUGCCGGGGAGCUCGUCGCCCACGACGCCCAGGGCUCUCUGCAGGUCGCCGGAUCCGCCGCCUCCCCACUGGACGCCGGACGCCGUCUCCACUCUCCAGUCUCCAGAGUCCCAGUCCAGAGCAGUUCGAACUUCGAAAAAUGAAGAGAAAGAGGACCCUGCAUAGUUGGUUUGCAAGUAGUUCAAAUACACUUCCUAUAGUUUCAAAAUUUGGUUCAAAAUUUGAUAAUUUCUAAAAAAUCAAGAAAAAUUCUGGUAUAUAGUACGUGUUUCCAGGGAAAGUUUCAGUUUAUUUGUACAAAAGGACUAGGAGAUAAGCAUCUUUUUCUUCAAAAGAGCGUUCGAUUUUCUCGGCUUAAACUUUGAGCCCACCCUCCAUUUUUUCUCUAGAUUCGCCACUGGUAGGGUGUGCGUGUGUGUGUUCAUAGGGGUGAGUGUAUGCGCAUGUAUAUGAGCGCUUGUGUCUGUAUUGAUGCUCAAAAAAAGUGAUGGGAGGUUAAUUCUAAAGUAUAUAUGUUAAGCUCCAAUAUAUUACGCUCAUCAAAUCCUUGAAGUAUACUUUAUUCUCCUAUCAUCACUUGUUGAAUUCCUUUCUCUUACUUUUUA